rnacentral:rRNA from 1 species
UACGAAGGGUGCAAACGUUGCUCGGAAUUAUUGGGCGUAAAGCGUGCGUAGGUGGUUUUUUAAGUCCGUUGUGAAAGCCCUGGGCUCAACCUGGGAAUGGCAGUGGAUACUGGAAAGCUAGAGUGCGGUAGAGGGUAGUGGAAUUCCCGGUGUAGCAGUGAAAUGCGUAGAGAUCGGGAGGAACACCAGUGGCGAAGGCGGCUACCUGGACCAGCACUGACACUGAGGCACGAAAGCGUGGGGAGCAAACAGG